rnacentral:rRNA from 1 species
UACGGAGGGUGCAAGCGUUAUCCGGAUUUACUGGGUUUAAAGGGUGCGUAGGUGGGUAGGUAAGUCAGUGGUGAAAUCUUCGAGCUUAACUCGGAAACUGCCAUUGAUACUAUUUAUCUUGAAUACUCUGGAGGUAAGCGGAAUAUGUCAUGUAGCGGUGAAAUGCUUAGAUAUGACAUAGAACACCAAUUGCGAAGGCAGCUUACUACAUAGUUAUUGACACUGAGGCACGAAAGCGUGGGGAUC